rnacentral:rRNA from 1 species
UACGUAGGGCGCAAGCGUUGUCCGGAAUUAUUGGGCGUAAAGAGCUCGUAGGCGGCUUGUCACGUCGGGUGUGAAAGCCCGGGGCUUAACCCCGGGUCUGCAUUCGAUACGGGCUAGCUAGAGUGUGGUAGGGGAGAUCGGAAUUCCUGGUGUAGCGGUGAAAUGCGCAGAUAUCAGGAGGAACACCGGUGGCGAAGGCGGAUCUCUGGGCCAUUACUGACGCUGAGGAGCGAAAGCAUGGGGAGCGAGCAGG